GUUAGGAAGUGGUCUCCUGUGCCCAUGCAUUGAAGACUACUUCCCACUUUCUCUUCUAUCAGGUUUAGCUACGAAUCCUACUUCUGGAGGAAAACUCAGACAAGGAUUUAAUAAAUCUUCUAAAAAAGAUUAACUCCUAGAGGCCAGACUGGCUUCCUGUUGCUCUGCAGCCUGGACAGUCGGGCACCCAGAAACACCUACCACAGAAGGCCAUAAACAUCUGUUCUCAUCUGGCAUCAUUAGAACAAGUGAUAGACGUUUAGAUUUCAAGUUUAUCUACUCCUUUGAUGCUUUUCAAAAGUUAUUAAACUUAUCAGCCUAUAUCAUAAUGUCCGGGUUAAAGAUUCAAAGAUUUCCUUGAAGUGUCUUUCA